CCGCUCGUUGCAAGGCUUCCAGUCAGUUGGCUGGAGAACGAAAGUGGGCAGGGAGGAAGUCAGAAGGGAAAGGGAAAGAGCGAGCCGAUUCUGCUUGCGGGAACAUUCGCCUGGCCGGCUGGGAUGCCCCCCCAGGGGGCGGUGCCCUUUUCCCGGCGACCUCCGGGAGCGGGGCGGGGCCGGGUUUGUUUCCAUUUUGAAAACCCGGGCGCGGGCGGCGGUGGAGCUGAGCUUCCCGGGAGGGGCGAGGUCCAGGGAGGCGGGGCAGCUGAGCGCCCUCUGCCGGGUUUUCCGAGUUCGCGGUCACCCUUCCCUGCGUUGGGGUGGCAGUCCGUUGAUUUGACCUCAAUAUAGAGACCCUUAGCAUGUGUGUGGGCCCACAAGAUCCUUGCUGAAAAAGAGAAGACAUCACUGUAAGAGACCAGGGCCCUCUGAUGGCCCCUGAAAGCGCAGGGUUCCCAGCCAGACUUGACUGUCCUGUGCUUUGGACUUAUCCUUGGGAAUGGAACUCCAGAGGUAGGAUUGAAGGCAGCAACAAGGAACCAGACUCAUAGGGGGCUCAGAAAUAUUCCCUUGCUUUGAAUGUCCUCCAUCUGGAAGAGUUUAGCUAAUUAAACCAAAGAUCACGGAUGAGUUGGCCCCAUUUAUCUCCAAUGGAUGAAAUCCUUUUCUCUCCAGAGGAUUCUUCAGACAAAUAUCAAGGCAGUCCCUUGCUUCACCCAGUGGGCCUUCCGAUCUCUUCCUUAGCAAGGCAAUGUGGUGCUGAGCACCAGAAAAUUCCCAGGGAGAGCCUCUGCCAAAAUGCAAAACCAAGGAAAAAGGAUGAAAGCAACAGUUUUGGACCAGGGCUGGCAGAAAUGGUAAACCCAAUCUGCCAUAUUUGCUUUUUCUUAAUCUAAAAUAACAGAGAUAACAUACACAAUGGACUUUCUAACUUGCCACUUUUCCCUUAUCUUUUUUCCCUUUGUGAGCCUAAGACAUCGUGUUCUUUCAUAUAACCUCUCUCUCUCUCAAAAAAACAAAAAAAACAAAAAAACAAAAAAAACAAAAAAAAACCCAACAACAACAAAAACAAAAAACCCUUGGCCAUUCCGUUCCCUGCCGCCCAUGGAGAAGAACAGACUCUAUCUGAUAUUUCAGCUGGAAGGCAGGGUGGCAGAUUCUUUCCAAUGGGGUGGCGACUUCCUCCCUACUCUCAGAACACACCCCUUCCCAAAAAUACGCCCUCCUGGGCAAGCAGCACAAAGGGAAUGUCAGCAAAUGCCCACAUCCCUUCCUUUUCCUUUUACACCCAGUGGCCUGGGAAUGGCGGGCACGCUCGGGGAAUGCACACCACCAAUCGGUGUGCGGCCCCAUGGGGCCUGUAAAGCGGCCUUGCUCUCAUCUCUUGCCCUCUUGGGCCAUCUUCCAAACCAACUGCCAGAAGGGAUUGUCCUAAAACGCAAAUCUGAUCAUUUCAUUUCAUCUACUUAAGAACUUGCCGUGGCCUUUUGGCCCACAAUGAGGGUUCCCAAACUCCUGCCUGAGGUCUAUGCCAGCUAUAUAAGAAGCAUUGUAUUCAGAUGUAGUUUCUAGAGUUUAGGUUAGAACCUGGGGAUCUGCCUAUGUUAGCCUGAAUUCUUUAGGUUGGUAAGUGACAGUAACUCAUCUCAAACUAGCUUAGGUCAAAAAAGGAAUCUAUUAUUUCUUCUGACAAGGAAGUUUAGGGGGUAAAAUGAUCUCAAUUAUAUCUGUGAGAUUUUAAUUUAUGGAGGUGACUAAAUGAUGAUGUGGAGACGUCAAUACCAUUGAAAGACUAACGUAUUGAUUAAUUUCCUAAGAGGAGAGGGUAUGCUAUGCCACACAGGACCAUUUGGGGAAGCACGAGGUGGAAGGGAGCGGGGGUGGAGUGGGAUCGUUGAGGGGGCGUAGACCACAGCCUUUGUUGGGAUUCCUGCAGGACAGGCAAGGCAGUUUAGGACUAGCUAGUUUGAAUAAAUCAGGUGGCCUUUGGGGGAUAACAACUGUACCUGGUAGUCUGUUACCGGGCCCUGGGUUGAUUUAGGGCAGGGGACAUGACGUCUUGGUGGUGUGAAUUCCCUGACGGAGGUCACUUCAGAGUAUCAACUCUGGAUCUCAGGGGAGAUGUAAACAACUUCAGCUGUUACUUUGGGUGCCAAAGAGACCAAUGUAGAAUCUAAGAAAACACAAUUAGAACAAGAGCUGGCUUCAGUGGGAAUGGCUUUAGAGGUGUGCUAAUAAUGCAGCCACGAGCUACAUGUGGCUGUUGAACACUUAGAACGUGGGUAACACAAACUGAAAUGUGACGGAGGUGUGAAACACAUGCCGGCUUUCAGACAGCAUAACGAAGAGAAAACUUGUAUAGCCCAGUGAUUUGACAAUUCUGUGCGUUGCUCAAUGCUCACCAGCAUCGGUGUGGUUGCCAUCUGUCACCCGCAACAUUAUUACAGUAUUAUCGACUAUAUUUCCUAUGCUGUAAAAAACAAAACAAAACAAAAAAACCCUGU